GGGAGUCAGACUGCACGAGAUAAGUUGGGCGGUCAAAAGGGAAAGAGCCCAGACCUUCAGUUAAGGUCCCCAAGUGCGCGUUAAGUGGAAAAGGAUGUGGGAUUUCGAAGACAACCAGGAUGUUGGCUCAGAAGCAGCCAUCCAUUCAAAGAGUGCGUAAUAGCUCACUGGUCGAGAGGUCCUGCGCCGAAAAUGUCCGGGGCUGAAACGCGCCACCGAAACUAAGGAACCGAAAGGUUGGUAGAGGAGCAUUGCAUGCGGGAAGAAGCAGUACCGUAAGGAGCUGUGGACUGCAUGGAAGAGAGAAUGCCGGAAUGAGUAGCGAGAAUAAGGUGAGAAUCCUUAUGGCCGAAUAUCCAAGGUUUCCAGAGUAAAGCUGAUCUGCUCUGGGUAAGUCGGGGCCUAAGGCGAGGACGAGAGUCGUAGCCGAUGGACAACAGGUGGAGAUUCCUGUACUGCGGUAUGACAGAACUGUGGGGACACGUAAGGAAAGCGGAAGCCGGGAAUGGAAAGCCCGGUGCAAGCGGGGUACCAGCCACUUAGGCAAAUCCGGGUGGCAAUGGGAAGCCGUGAUGCGGAGCGAAAUAAAGUAGCGAAGUCCGUGAGCCAUGCGUCAAGAAAAGCCGCUAUUGUUUAUACCGUACCCGUACCGUAAACCGACACAGGUGGAUGAGGAGAGAAUCCUAAGGCCGGCGGAAGAAGCAUUGUCAAGGAACUCGGCAAAAUGGCCCCGUAACUUAGGGAUAAGGGGUGCCUGGGAAACCAGGCCGCAGAGAAUAGGCUCAAGCAACUGUUUAGCAAAAACACAGGUCUAUGCGAAACCGAAAGGUGAGGUAUAUGGGCUGACGCCUGCCCGGUGCUGGAAGGUUAAGAGGAGAGGUUAGCGCAAGCGAAGCUUUGAAUUUAAGCCCCAGUAAACGGCGGCCGUAACUAUAACGGUCCUAAGGUAGCGAAAUUCCUUGUCGGGUAAGUUCCGACCCGCACGAAAGGCGUAAUGAUUUGAGCGCUGUCUCGACAAUGCAUCCGGUGAAAUUGAAGUACCAGUGAAGAUGCUGGUUACCUGCGCCAGGACGGAAAGACCCCAUGGAGCUUUACUCCAGUCUGGUACUGGGACUCGGUAUUGCAUGUACAGGAUAGGUGGGAGGCUAGGAGAUGGUAACGCCAGUUGCCAUGGAGCCGCUGUUGGGAUACCACCCUUGCAGUAUUGGGUUUCUAACCAGCCGCCGUGACCCGGCGGUGGGACAAUGCCAGACGGGGAGUUUGACUGGGGCGGUCGCCUCCGAAAGGGUAUCGGAGGCGCCCAAAGGUUCCCUCAGAAUGGACGGAAACCAUUCGAAGAGUGCAAAGGCAGAAGGGAGCUUGACUGCGACACCGACGGGUGGAGCAGGUACGAAAGUAGGGCUUAGUGAUCCGGUGGUAUUAAGUGGGAAUGCCAUCGCUCAACGGAUAAAAGCUA
rnacentral:rRNA from 1 species